UUUUGUUCUAUGCACACUAAUUCUUUGUAUAUUAAACUAAAAAAAUAUUAAACAAUAAUAAAAAGUCAUAGUAGGUAGUUUGACGGCCCAUCUUUUCUAAAUCACCCACUUUCUUUCUUCUUCUCUAAGCUUCGCAGUUUUCUUCAGUUUCUGGCUCCGGUAGCUUUAAGCACCGGAGUAGGAUUUCUCUUGUCAUUAUUUUGUGUUUCUAGUAUGGUUUUGUCCUUUUUCACCAUACAGUUUGGAUUUUGAUUGGAUUCACUUCUAUCUCUGGAUCUAGUUGGCUUUUGGUAUAGAGAAGACAGAGUCACCGUAUUCAGGUGGAUCAUCAGUGCGAUUAUACUGCUAACGACUUCGGUUUGAUCUAUUAUCCAAGAUCUAAAGCUAGAUCUGGAGUUAUUGGGGCCUUGUACUUCAUGCAUGCCAGUUUUUUCUUUGCUCUGAAGUUUAGUUCAGUUUCUUUUCGGAACUAUUCGGGUUGGAUUGCUUGCUCCUUGACUCUACUUCUCAGCUAUGAUCAUGAUCUCUUUGCAAGCUUCAUUCUAGGUGUGUUCUAGUCGCGAUUGUGGGCUCCACCUCUUUUCGGAGACCUAGAGGUUCUGUCUUGCCGGAAGUCAAGCUUCGAUUCUUGGGAUCAAAAGGUAGAUUUUAAGAGGAGCUUGUUAACGAUGGUUGGCCGGGGGCUUCUUCGUUAAAUUUUGCUCGUUAUGUGCAAAGCUUUAACCUGUUAUGUUUGUAAGCGCCAAGUCUUUCUCUAUGGAUCCAUGGAUCCACUGUUGUUUUAUGGAUGGGACAAAACUUUUAUGGAUUUAAGG
rnacentral:lncRNA from 1 species